AGCAGUGGGGAAUUUUGGACAAUGGGCGCAAGCCUGAUCCAGCAAUGCCGCGUGCAGGAUGAAGGCCUUCGGGUUGUAAACUGCUUUUGUACGGAGCGAAAAGGCUUCCACUAAUACUGGGGGCUCAUGACGGUACCGUAAGAAUAAGCACCGGCUAACUACGUGCCAGCAGCCGCGGUAAU
rnacentral:rRNA from 1 species